rnacentral:rRNA from 3 species
AACGACUCUCGGCAACGGAUAUCUCGGCUCUCGCAUCGAUGAAGAACGCAGCAAAAUGCGAUACUUGGUGUGAAUUGCAGAAUCCCGUGAAUCAUCGAGUUUUUGAACGCAAGUUGCGCCCGAAGCCUUCCGGCCGAGGGCACGUCUGCCUGGGUGUCAUGC